rnacentral:rRNA from 1 species
GAGACAGCAGUCGCCGCGGUAAUACCAGCAGCCCAAGUGGUGGUCGCGAUUAUUGGGCCUAAAGCGCUCGUAGCCGGGCCGGUAAGUCCCUUGUGAAAUCGGACGGCCUAACCGUUCGGCGUGCAAGGGAUACUGUCGGUCUUGAGGCCGGGAGACGUCCGAGGUACUCCGGGGGUAGCGGUGAAAUGUUCUAAUCCUCGGGGGACCACCGGUGGCGAAGGCGUUCGACGAGAACGGGCCUGACGGUGAGGGGCGAAGGCUAGGGGAGCAAACGGGAUUAGAUACCCCAGUAGUCCCUGUCUCUUAUA